AGGAUUUCAAUUGUGCUUUGCGUUGCAUGAAAAAGUUUUUCUAUGAUUUUGAGAUCCUACACUACUUUGAACGAAUGAGGCAGUUAUUAUUUAUUUUGGUGGAGGAGCCUUCAUCACUAUACCACUAAAAGGCCGAGUUUCGAUGAUUCGCUCUUCUAAGUCAUUGAGUUCAAGAUUCAAUGUGCCCACUAUUCCACUAAGGUCGAGUUUCAUUAAGUUCAAGAUUCAAUGUGCCCAAGAGUCCGAGGAUAAUGAUGAGGUUUUAUUUCUUUUAUUGAUUAACAUUUUUAUUUCUUUUGCCAUGUACAAGAUAUCUAACCUUUUUAUCAGUGUCAUAGCAGUUGGAGUUUAUGGUGGAUAUAAAGUGAGGGCUGUGUUAACGCAGUCAAGAAUAAAUUGCAAACUGUUGAUGGUGAGGAUAUUAAAGAGUGAUGAAUCUAACGAUUUUGCACUUUUGUAUCUUCAUA
rnacentral:lncRNA from 1 species